CCAUAGCCCUGAUGGAAACGGCAUCCUUUUGCAAAAAAACUUCGGAACAAGCGAUGGAUUUUUUGCAAAAGAUAUAGUGGACAGCAGGUUCCCGG
rnacentral:sRNA from 1 species